rnacentral:rRNA from 1 species
UACCAGCUCUCCGAGUGGUGUGGAUGUUUAUUGGGCCUAAAGCAUCCGUAGCUGGCUGGACAAGUCCCCUGUUAAAUCCACCGAUUUAAUCGUUGGAGUGCGGGGGAUACUGUUCGGCUAGGGGACGGGAGAGGCAGACGGUAUUUUCGGGGUAGGGGUGAAAUCCUAUAAUCCCGGGAAGACCACCAGUGGCGAAGGCUGUCUGCUAGAACGCGCCCGACGGUGAGGGGUGAAAGCUGGGGGAGCGAACCGGAUUAGAUACCCGGGUAGUCCCAGCUGUAAACGAUGCAGGCUAGGUGUUUGGGCGGCCACGUGCCGCUCUAGUGCCGCAGGGAAGCCGUUAAGCCUGCCGCCUGGGGAGUACGGCCGCAAGGCUGAAACUUAAAGGAAUUGGCGGGGAGCACCACAAGGGGUGAAGCUUGCGGUUU